ensembl:lncRNA
UUGUGUGUGUGUGUGUGUGUGUGUGUGUGUGUUCUCUGUGUCAAACAUGGAUGACCAACCAUUUUGCCAUUUCAGCCCAAAUAUGCAAUAUAAGGGUGCUAGACGUACGUUCAACAAACCUGCCAUAUGGAUCGUCCACAAACGUACUGUUUCUCUCAUGUCACUCUCUGCUACAGUCUCUGAAUCACCGGCUAAACACAGACAAUCUUCGUGUGUUUGUUUGUUUUUUUUUCAUUUCUUUUUUUUAUUUAUUUAUUUUUCUGUUUUGUUUUAUGGUCAACAGGGGGCUGAUAUUCAGAAUCACUGAAUAGGGAUUCGUUCUGGACUCUGGAUUCUGGAUUCUGAGGAAGGAAAUGCUGCAUAUGGAGGCCAUUGAAGAGGAGACCAAAUUAAUCUGACAAACACACAAAUACAAAGAUGAUCGUUUUCGUUCAAUGCAUUGUUGCUGUAUAAUUUAUAUUUGUUUUGGACAAGUAAUACUCAGUUACAGUAUUUUUUUUUGGACAUGAUAUUGCUUAAUUCUGUUGUUGUACGCCAUGAUAUCACCUGAUCUUACUUGAUACAAAAUAUAUGGUGAUGGAGGAUUGAUUAUAUUGAUGUGUCUGUUUUGACUCUUUUUAAGUAGACUACACUGUAUGCGUUGUGCACGAAUGCAUGCCUAAGGAUAUGCAGAGAAUAUGUAUGUAACAUUAUUUUGGAGACAUAAAAUAAAAAAUAACAUCAAAUCUGUGAUCUUUGAGAGCAAAAGAACUCCACAUAAUGGCGGGAAAAGAGUGUUGUUCCUAACUUUGGCCAUAGGGGGGAGGCAGUUGAAGAUAUAAUGUAUUUAAGUCCUCUGCCUUUACCUAAAAUGGCCAAACUAUAACGGGUUCCACGUCCAUACUACUACUCGUGACAACACAUGUUAUUUGACACGAGAUUGAAAUGUUCACUAUGUGAACUCACGUAACUUUAGGGGGGAAUUCAGGGAAAUCGAACACGCUUCGUGUGCAAGGUUAGGUCGCAGGUCACUGUCAAACGAGGUUACUGUUCCCGUAGAGAUUCUUACUGGAUGAAGCACACGUCGAUCAAAAUAGCCAGCCGAUGGCCUUGGUGAAUUUGUAAAGCAUUCAAGAUCUGAUUGGCCUUCUAAGCAGCGCCAACAAACGAACAAUGCUGUU